UACGGAGGAUCCGAGCGUUAUCCGGAUUUAUUGGGUUUAAAGGGUGCGUAGGCGGCCUAUUAAGUCAGGGGUGAAAGACGGUAGCUUAACUAUCGCAGUGCCUUUGAUACUGAUAGGCUUGAAUGUACUUGAGGUAGGCGGAAUGUGACAAGUAGCGGUGAAAUGCAUAGGUAUGUCACAGAACACCAAUUGCGAAGGCAGCUUACUAAAGUAUGAUUGACGCUGAGGCACGAAAGCGUGGGGAUCAAACAGG
rnacentral:rRNA from 1 species